rnacentral:lncRNA from 13 species
CUGUAUCUGUACCUGUACUGUAUCUGUACUGUACCUGUACCUGUAACUGUACUGUAUCUGUACUGUACCUGUACUGUAUCUGUAUCUGUACCUGUACUGUAUCUGUACUGUACCUGUACCUGUAACUGUACUGUAUCUGUACUGUACCUGUACUGUAUCUGUUACCUGUACCUGUACUGUAUCUGUACUGUAUCUGUACUGUAUCUGUACUGUACCUGUACUGUAUCUGUACCUGUACCUGUACCUGUACCUGUACUGUAUCUGUACUGUAUCUAUGCUGUACCUGUAUCUUGUCUUGUGGGGCAUCUAAAUCUGAUGUGUGGUCAGGUCUGUGUGACAUAAUAUGAAUGAAGGGUUUAUUUGGCUGAACUCAAGCAACGUCUCCAAACUUUGUACAAUAACAACAGUUUUGUUAUUGCCCCUCUGAGAUAAAUACAGGGUUCAAAUUGCCCCUCGAAGAUAAAUUCAUGGUUCUAAUUGACCUUCAGAGAUAAAAACAGGGCACGUAUUGCCCCUCAGAGAUAAAUACAAGGUUCUUUCAUUGAUUUUAAUUGAAUUGUUUGUGUGACUAUAAGAGAGCUGACAAAUUGCUGUGCUGUGUGUUUUCUCUCUCCAGGUGUGUGGGUGAAAGAGAUGAUGCGGUCUGGAGCUGAUAGCUGACGUAGCUGAUAGCUGACGUAGCUGAUAGCUGACGUAGCUGAUAGCUGACGUAGCUGAUAGCUGACAGAGCUGAUAGCUGACUUAGCUGUAGUAGGAUGAGAUGAGAGAGGAUGGAACACACGGACAGCCCCGCCUCCCACAGCAGUGACCCCAACGGGUUCGUCAAUAAAGUCUUCAACGUGUCUCUGGAUGUGCAGAAUGAGACCGGCACUGUAUCUAUCCAGGAGACUGGGAAGGGAGAGGGACAGGGAGAGAGUCAAGAAGAGGGUCAGGGUCCAGGCCAAGCCCAGGGACAGUGGCAGGGGGAUGGGGAUAGACAGGCAGAGACCCAGGCACCCCCUCAGACCCCUGGGAUGGAGCACCCGGAUGUCAACCGUAGACCAAGAGCUACAGGAGGCAUCUGGAAGAUCUUGACCCGGCGAAAAGCGGCUUCAGAACUGGAUAACAGAAGACCUCACUCCAUGAUCCUCCCUGGAGAGGAGGCCUUUAUCCCUAAACUGUCCUUCGCUGACAAGGUCCGCUCCAUCAAGAAGCUCCGCUCUCCGGGUGUCUUCAAGGGGAGGGUGGGUAAGAUGUCUAGGUCCAGCACUAAGUUCAGAGAUGGAGAGACGGAGGACGACUCAUUCUGCCGGGACUUCCUCCCCUCACCCGCCCUGCAUCCCGGUAGGAGCACACUCCGCCACUACGCCAAGAGGCACUCGUAUGCCGGACACACCGCCGAGUUCGACUGCUCAUUUGAUGACAUGGAUCUGACAGCUACCCUGGACAGACACCAUCUUCCCUCGCUAGUGGAGCCUGCUACCCAGAACGGCUCUAAGCCCACAGAGAGAGUCCCCUACACCAAGAGAUCUCAGGUCCAGGCUCAGGCGCAGUCCAAUCACUCCUCUAACUGUAACACUACCUCAGCAGAAGUGUGUGAGGAGCAGAGUGUGAGGGGCGGCCCCAAGGCCCCGCUGGGUGGGAGGAGGUCUAAGAGAGCUGACGUGUGGAGUUACCUGAGGAAGAUCUCUGUCCUGGGGAAGGGGAACCCGGCCUACUCAGAGAGGAGUUUUGACUCAGAGCUACACACACUGGACAAGACCAUGGACUCUGACUACGGCUCGGUGGACUUCGAGAGCAUCCGGGACUUUCAGCCAGCUGCUCCAAAACACUCUGACAGCAAAGGUGGACAUUUUGGGGGUCUGAUUAAGUUCUUCAGCAACGUUGCAGAGACGGCUAGAAAAUGGCGGAUGUCUUCUCACUCCUUCUCUCCUCCAGAGGGGGGGGCGGAGCGGACGCCACUGGACUCCCCCAGAGCAGGGCAGCGUCUGGGGGACUACGUCCACAGUGUGUCCCUGACCCUCCGCAGUGAGGACCAUCCAGAGUGUCCCCCAACACCCGCCUCACCCCUAACCCCUCACCCCCCUCGCUCCCCUUCUUGUGACCCUGCCUCACCCACUCCUCUGAUAGGCAGACGGUCUCCUCGAGUGGUGCUGAAGGCCUGGAGGGUGAGUCCGGACUCACCAAGCGUUAACGGCCUGGUGUGUGUGAGCUCAUUGGAAACGGCCAGACAGACAGACAAACAGACAGAGAGCCAGCCAGUCAGACAGACAGAGAGACAGACACCGCACACCUCUGUAGCCACAGUAGAGAAUCACGUGCCACACUCAAGGCUGGAGAGAGAGACUCAGAAAGAGACAGUGGGAGACAGAGACCACUUAGAAUGUCUGUCUACAGUGGAAGACAGAGAAAGAGAGGGAAGAGAGCGACACUCAGGAAAUGAUCUGGAUUCCGAGGAUGCUCUACCUGUCUCGGAUCAGACACACCUUCCAAACGGCCAAUCAAAGUUACGGGAAGAAGAGACCGUAGCCACUAGGGAGCCAGCAGGAAACUGCCACCAGGAAGUAUUUAAGGCCAUGUCUCGUCCCCCGGGGGCAUCACCUUUAGAGCCCCCCCUCAGAGUGUCUCUUCAGAGGUGUCACUCCCUCCCCCCCAGCAGCCUUACCACUCUGGCCCUGUUUCCGGGACACACAGGUACUACAUGAGUGUGUGCACAUGUGUGUGCGUGCCUGCCUGCCUGUGUCAGUAUGUGCAUGUUGGUGUACGAAUGCGUGUGUGUGUGUGUGUGUGUGCGUGUGCGUGUGCGUGUGUGUGUGUGUGGUAGUUGAACUGUCUGUGUGUCUGUCCACUACAGCAGACUCCCAGUCAUCCUCAAUGUGUCCUGGUGAUGGAGAGACUGGCAUCUGCAGGAGGAGACUGCUCAGAACAGGCUCUGGUCCACUACAAAUUAACAUUGUGAGUCAUUGCCUACCAUGUCCUAUAAUCACACUAUAUUAGCCUGUUAGCAUGUUAGCCUGUUAGCCUGUUAGCAUGUUAGCCUGUUAGCAUGUUAGCCUGUUAGCAUGUUCAGUCACAAGUCACUAACUGCGUCUCAAAUAGGACCCUAUUCCCUAUUGAUGGGUUAGCUGACAACGUCAUGAAAACAAUGUCAGCGCUUCAAAGGGGCAGAAAGUUGUGUGUUGUUGUGAUUCUGGAUGGCCAGGUAGCUAGCAACAAGGACAAGAAACUGCUAUGUGGUGGCAGAUAGCCAAGCACUUAAGAGCAUUAGGUCAGUAACUGAAAGAUAGCUAGUUGGAAUCUCUGAGCUGUCUUGUUUUGAGGGGUUUUGACUGAGGUCUAUGCAAAUAUGGUUAAAAUAUGCCAGCUAGCUAGCUAAUCAACAACUGUAACAAUGUAUUUGAGAGACAAAUGCGCAUUGUGCAACUUUAUUUAUGUUUUCAAUAAACAUUGGAGACAAAAUAUAGUUUACAUGCUAUCAGCAAUCUAAGCCAACGCCGUCUGUUUUGCCCCAGUCUUCCUUCCGGGUUCUGGUUUGAUGGAGACAUUCAGGGAAUAUCUCUGCAAUGCAGUUCAACAGUCUUCCUUCAGGGUUCAGUUCAACAGUUUCCUUUCAGGGUUCAGUUCAACAGUCUUCCUUCAGGGUUCAGUUCAACAGUCUUCCUUCAGGGUUCAGUUCAACAGUCUUCCUUCAGGGUUCAGUUCANNNNNNNNNNCUAAUGGCCAGCAGCAUCAGUACAGGUUAACAGUGGCCAGCAGCAUCAGUAGAGGUUUACAAUGGCCAGCAGCAUCAUUAGAGGGUAACAGUGGCCAGCAGCGUCAGUACAGGGUAACAGUGGCCAGCAGCAUCAGUAGAGGGUAACAGUGGCCAGCAGCAUCAGUAGAGGGUAACAGUGGCCAAGUCACUUUAGGCCAUCCUGAGCUGGUCUAAAUCACAUUACACAACUUGACUCAUUAUGAGCUACAUGAGUCAGCAGUUAGCACACAGAGAGCACAGCAGGACUCACAGAUGAGGGAGAACACACACAUUACUUCUCUACUCAGGCGUGUUCAUUUAAUCACGCAGUGCACAGCUGUGCAGGCGAUGUGUCUCUGUGACCUCAAACAUCACGCUCACCUCACACACACUCUUCAAACCUCACACACUCUUCAAACCUCACACACACACACACUCUUCAAGCCUCACACACAGUCUUCAAAACCUCACACACUCUUCAACCCUCACACACAGUCUUCAAAGCUCACACACAGUCUUUAAUUCUCACACACAGUCUUCAAAACCUCACACACACUCCUCAAUCCUCACACACAGUCUUCAAACCUCACACACACUCNNNNNNNNNNNNNNNNNNUUCUUAAAGUGUGUCCCAAAUGGCACCUUAUUCCCUAUAUAGUGCAUUACUUUUGAUCAGGACCCAUAAGGCUCUGGUCAAAAGUAGUACACUGUGUAGGGAAUAGGGUACCGUUUGGGAUGAAUACGUAGGGCUGACACCCGAUCACAUCCACAGCUGUAACAAAAGGUCAUGAUGUCAUCUGCUGAGAUACUGCUGUAAACAAGCCUGGUGAUUUGGGCUUGCCAAAAGGAGAUUCUAACAUGUAUUGACUCAGGGGAUUGAAUACUUAUCUAAUCAAGAUGUAUUUGUGCCAUAAAGCCA